UCUGCCCACUGUAUUUUUUAUGAAGGGCCGCAGUACUUUGACUGUGCUAAGGUAGCAAAAUAAAUUGACUCUUAAUUAGGGUCGGGUAUGAAUGGGUUUAUGGUUUAGAACUGUUUCAUUUAUAUUACAACGAAUUUUUUUAAUAGGUGAAAAUACCUAUAGGAAAAUAUUAGACGAGAAGACCCUUAGAGUUUUAAUAAAAAUUUUAUAUGUUAAAAUUAUGUUUUUGUUGGGGCGACAUUUUAUUAAGAAAUACAAUUUAAUAACAUAAAUUAACCAUACUAAACAUAUAACUUAAGGUUUAUUAAGAAGAAUAUAACUACCUAAGGGAUAACAGCAUAAUUUUAUUUAAGAUUGUGACCUCGAUGUUGGACUAGGAACAUUAUCUAUUAACCGUAG
rnacentral:rRNA from 1 species